rnacentral:lncRNA from 1 species
GUUCUGGUUUCCAGCCUCUGUAAAGAGGUGUAUGGAAGCGAGUGAGAGCACAGGGUUCAAAUCCAGCCGUGCCACUCCAUGGCUGUGUGACCUUGAGCAGGCUCCCCAACCCUUGUGAGCUCAUUUCAUCAUCGGUGCCAUGGGGAUGAUGAUAAUUCCCACCUGAUAGGAUUAUUGUGAAGGCUGAGUGGAUUAAUUUGUGGGAAGCAUUCAUAACUGUUCUGGCAUACAAUAAGCCUACCGGAAAUGUCUCCUCACUAAGAACAGUGCCCGACACAUGGUGAGCUGUUGGUCUGUCUUAGCAAUUGUAAUUCUUAGUAUUUCUGCCGGGACUUUGAAGGCCUUUGCCAGUUCACAGAACCGUGUCAGAGAGCACUAGGAGGAGAUCAGGGCUGAAAUUAGCAUCUCAGUUUUACAGAUGCAGAAACAGA